rnacentral:rRNA from 1 species
ACGGGUGAGUACGCGUGGGAACGUGCCCUUCGGUUCGGAAUAACUUGAGGAAACUUAAGCUAAUACCGGAUACGCGAGAGGAAAGAUUCGCCGAAGGAUCGGCCCGCGUCCGAUUAGCUAGUUGGUGAGGUAACGGCUCACCAAGGCGACGAUCGGUAGCUGGUCUGAGAGGAUGAUCAGCCACAUUGGGACUGAGACACGGCCCAAACUCCUACGGGAGGCAGCAGUGGGGAAUAUUGGACAAUGGGCGCAAGCCUGAUCCAGCCAUGCCGCGUGAGUGAUGAAGGCCCUAGGGUUGUAAAGCUCUUUCGCCAGGGACGAUUGACGGUACCUGGAUAAGAAGCCCCGGCUAACUUCGUGCCAGCAGCCGCGGUAAUACGAAGGGGGCUAGCGUUGUUCGGAUUUACUGGGCGUAAAGCGCACGUAGGCGGAUCUUUAAGUCAGGGGUGAAAUCCCGAGGCUCAACCUCGGAACUGCCUUUGAUAC